rnacentral:rRNA from 1 species
GAUGAACGCUGGCGGCGUGCCUAAUACAUGCAAGUCGAGCGAACAGACGAGGAGCUUGCUCCUCUGACGUUAGCGGCGGACGGGUGAGUAACACGUGGAUAACCUACCUAUAAGACUGGGAUAACUUCGGGAAACCGGAGCUAAUACCGGAUAAUAUAUUGAACCGCAUGGUUCAAUAGUGAAAGACGGUUUUGCUGUCACUUAUAGAUGGAUCCGCGCCGCAUUAGCUAGUUGGUAAGGUAACGGCUUACCAAGGCAACGAUGCGUAGCCGACCUGAGAGGGUGAUCGGCCACACUGGAACUGAGACACGGCCCAGACUCCUACGGGAGGCAGCAGUAGGGAAUCUUCCGCAAUGGGGGAAAGCCUGACGGAGCAACGCCGCGUGAGUGAUGAAGGUCUUCGGAUCGUAAAACGCUGUUAUUAGGGAAGAACAAAUGUGUAAGUAACUAUGCACGGCUUGACGGUACCUAAUCAGAAAGCCACGGCUAACUACGUG